UCCCUGGAGGACUAGUCGUUAGGCCACAGCGCUCUCACCGCUGCGGCCCGGGUUCGAUUCCCAGCCAGGGAA
rnacentral:tRNA from 1 species